UAACCCUGCCCUUAAGGUCUGGGGAUACCAUUUGGAAAAACAGAUGCUAAUACCGGAUAAAAGCUACUUUCGCAUGAAAGAAGUUUAAAAGGCGGCGUAAAGCUGUCGCUAAAAGGGAUGGGACCUGCGAUGCAUUAGCUAGUUGGUAAGGUAACGGGCUUACCAAGGCGAUGAUGCAUAGCCCGAGUUGAGAGACUGAUCGGCCACAUUGGGGACUGAGACACGGGCCCAAACUCCUACGGGAGGCAGCAGUAGGGAAUCUUCCACAAUGGACGAAAGUCUGAUGGAGCAAACGCCGCGUGAGUGAAGAAGGUUUUCGGAUCGUAAAGCUCUGUUGUUGGUGAAGAAGGAUAGAGGUAGUAACUGGCCCUUUAUUUGACGGUAAUCAACCAGAAAGUCACGGGCUAACUACGUGCCAGCAGCGCGGUAAAU
rnacentral:rRNA from 1 species